rnacentral:lncRNA from 1 species
AUAUUAAAUAACUUAGUUAAUGGUUUAGAAAUAAAGCUAGCAACCUCUUUUAAAAUUCUAGGACUGAUACCGUCAGGUCCAGCUGGUUUGUUAACAUUCAAGAUUUUUAACUGAUCUAAAAUUUCUUUCUCAGUGAUGACAAAUUUAUUUAAAUGACAUGGAGGAGGCUCGUUAUUAUCCGGAACAGAAUUUCUGGUUCUGUAUCAAUAUUAGCUAUAUUAGCAAAAUGAUUGUUCAGGAUCUCUGAUUUGUCCAAUGGAUGAAUAAAAAUUUGGCCAUCAUGUUCCAAAAAAGGGGGGACUCUCUAUUUUUAGUAAAAUUUGAUACAGACUUGGCAAUGCGCCACCAUUUACCAGGAGGAAUAUUUUUGUCAAUAAGUUGAGAUGUCAGUUUGCACUUAUAAUCUUCUUUUGCCUUUCUAACUAAGCUGAUAAUUUCAUUACGAAUUUCUCUAAAUUUUUUCCAGUGAUCUGGAUUAUUUGAAGUUUUCGCUUUG